GCAGUCACAUUCCCAACUAUCCCCUCGAAAGAUGUCCAGUACCCCAACGGAAGGGAUGUUAAAUCCGUUGUGGCCAAGACUCGAACCCGGAUGGCGGGCAGUACAACUGUACCUCCUUUACCACCAAGCUACGAGCGCUUGGUAUCUGGUUACGUCUUUUUUCUUGGUCAUCCUUCGAAAUGAAUCAUUAUAUCGACAAUAUUCAAAUAAGUUUUU
rnacentral:lncRNA from 1 species